rnacentral:tRNA from 1 species
GAGGGUAUAGCUCAGUGGUAGAGUGCAUGCUUAGCGUGCACGAGGACCUGGGUUCACUUCCCAGUACCUCCC